rnacentral:rRNA from 1 species
GACGAACGCUGGCGGCGUGCCUAAUACAUGCAAGUCGAACGCAGUGGGGACGGGUGAGUAACACGUGGGUAACCUCCCAUCAGAGGGGAUAACACUUGGAAACAGGUGCUAAACCGAUACUGAUGGAUGGACCCGCGGUGCAUUAGCUAGUUGGUGAGGUAACGGCUCACCAAGGCCACGAUGCAUAGGCGACCUGGGGGGGUGGUCGGCCACACUGGGACUUGGAAACGGGCCAGACGCCUAAGGGAGGCAGCAGUAGGGAAACUGCGGCAAUGGACGAAAGUCUGACCGAGCAACGCCGCGUGAGUGAAGAAGGUUUUCGGAGCGUAAAACUCUGUUGUUAGAGAAGCGGUAACUAACCAGAAAGGGACGGCUAACUACGUGCCAGCAGCCGCGGUAAUUC